UGCCAGCAGCCGCGGUAAUACGGAGGGGGUUAGCGUUGUUCGGAAUUACUGGGCGUAAAGCGCACGUAGGCGGACUGUUAAGUUAGAGGUGAAAUCCCGGGGCUCAACCCCGGAACUGCCUUUAAUACUGGCAGUCUAGAGUUCGAGAGAGGUGAGUGGAAUUCCGAGUGUAGAGGUGAAAUGCGUAGAUAUAGGAAGGAAUACCAGAGGCGAAGGCGGUCUCUUGGUCCGAAACCGACGCUGAGGCGCGAAAGCGUGGGGAGCAAACAGGAUUAGAUA
rnacentral:rRNA from 1 species